rnacentral:rRNA from 1 species
ACGAAGGGUGCAAGCGUUACUCGGAAUUACUGGGCGUAAAGCGUGCGUAGGCGGUUCGUCGCGUCGGCUGUGAAAACCCGAGGCUCAACCUCGGGCCUGCAGUCGAUACGGGCAGACUAGGGUGCUGUAGGGGAGACUGGAAUUCCUGGUGUAGCGGUGAAAUGCGCAGAUAUCAGGAGGAACACCGGUGGCGAAGGCGGGUCUCUGGGCAGUAACUGACGCUGAGGAGCGAAAGCGUGGGGAGCAAACAGGA